rnacentral:rRNA from 1 species
GACGAACGCUGGCGGCGUGCUUAACACAUGCAAGUCGAGCGAGGUCCUGCCUUCGGGCAGGUGUCCGAGCGGCGAACGGGUGAGUAACACGUGGGCAACCUGCCCUCAGCACUGGGGAUAACCCCGGGAAACCGGGGCUAAUACCGGAUAUGACCUCGGACGGCAUCGUCCGAGGUGGAAAGCUCCGGCGGCUGAGGAUGGGCCCGCGGCCUAUCAGCUAGUUGGUGGGGUCANGGCCUACCAAGGCGACGACGGGUAGCCGGCCUGAGAGGGCGACCGGCCACACUGGGACUGAGACACGGCCCAGACUCCUACGGGAGGCAGCAGUGGGGAAUAUUGCGCAAUGGGCGAAAGCCUGACGCAGCGACG